GAUGAACGCUGGCGGCGUGCCUAAUACAUGCAAGUAGAACGCUGAAGGAGGAGCUUGCCCUUCUGGAUGAGUUGCGAACGGGUGAGUAACGCGUAGGUAACCUGCCUGGUAGCGGGGGAUAACUAUUGGAAACGAUAGCUAAUACCGCAUGACAACAGUUAUUGCAUGAUAACUGUUUAAAAGGGGCAACUGCUCCACUACCAGAUGGACCUGCGUUGUAUUAGCUAGUUGGUGAGGUAACGGCUCACCAAGGCGACGAUACAUAGCCGACCUGAGAGGGUGAUCGGCCACACUGGGACUGAGACACGGCCCAGACUCCUACGGGAGGCAGCAGUAGGGAAUCUUAGGCAAUGGACGGAAGUCUGACCGAGCAACGCCGCGUGAGUGAAGAAGGUUUUCGGAUCGUAAAGCUCUGUUGUAAGAGAAGAACGAGUGUGAGAGUGGAAAGUUCACACUGUGACGGUAUCUUACCAGAAAGGGACGGCUAACUACGUG
rnacentral:rRNA from 1 species